rnacentral:rRNA from 1 species
UACGUAGGUGGCGAGCGUUGUCCGGAUUUACUGGGCGUAAAGAGCGCGCAGGCGGUCGUUCAAGUCGCGUGUGAAAGCCCCCGGCUCAACUGGGGAGGGUCACGCGAUACUGAUCGACUCGAAGGCAGGAGAGGGAAGUGGAAUUCCCGGUGUAGUGGUGAAAUGCGUAGAUAUCGGGAGGAACACCAGUGGCGAAGGCGACGUCCUGGACCGGCAUUGACGCUGAGGCGCGAAAGCUAGGGGAGCAAACGGG